UACGUAGGCAGGCAAGCGUUGUUCGGGAAUUACUGGGCGUGGAAGGAGUGUGUAGGCGGUGCUCCAAGGUCUGGUGUGAAAUCUCCCGGCUUAACGUGGGAGGGUGCAUUAGAAAUCUGGAAUGCUAGAGGAUGGGAGAGGUAAGCGGAAUUCCUGGUGUAGCGGUGAAAUGCGUAGAUAUCAGGAGGAACACCUGUGGUGUAGACAGCUUACUGGACCAUUUCUGACGCUGAGACACGAAAGCGUGGGUAGCAAACAGG
rnacentral:rRNA from 1 species